rnacentral:tRNA from 3 species
GGGCCCAUAGCUCAACGGUCAGAGCCGCCGGCUCAUAACCGGCCCGUUCCAGGUUCGAAUCCUGGUGGGCCCA